AGUGAACGCUGGCGGUAGGCCUAACACAUGCAAGUCGAACGGCAGCACAGGAGAGCUUGCUCUCUGGGUGGCGAGUGGCGGACGGGUGAGGAAUACAUCGGAAUCUACUCUGUCGUGGGGGAUAACGUAGGGAAACUUACGCUAAUACCUCAUACGACCUACGGGUGAAAGCAGGGGACCUUCGGGCCUUGCGCGAUUGAAUGAGCCGAUGUCGGAUUAGCGAGUUGGCGGGGUAAAGGCCCACCAAGGCGACGAUCCGUAGCUGGUCUGAGGGGAUGGUCAGCCACACUGGAACUGAGACACGGUCCAGACUCCUACGGGAGGCAGCAGUGGGGAAUAUUGGACAAUGGGCGCAAGCCUGCUCCAGCCAUACCGCGUGGGUGAAGAAGGCCUUCGGGUUGUAAAGCCCUUUUGUUGGGAAAGAAAUCCAGCUGGCUAAUACCCGGUUGGGAUGACGGUACCCAAAGAAUAAGCACCGGCUAACUUCGUGCCAGCCGCCGCCGUAA
rnacentral:rRNA from 1 species